UUUUGAAUUACAAGGUAUUGAAUAAGACUUUAAUUGAGUGCUAAGAGAAUGGACUUUCAAAAAAAUGCUUUCUUAAUUUUAAAAAUUGAAAUUAUUUUUUUUUGUGAAGAAACAACAAUAAAAAUUAAAGACAAGAAGACCCUAAGAAUUUUUAUAAAUUUAUUAUAUUAAUAUACAAUACAUUUAUUUAAUUGGGGCGAUUUGAAAAUAUUUAAAACUUUUUAAAAACUAAUAAGAUCCAUUAAUAAUGAUUUUAUGAAAAAAAUACUCUAGGGAUAACAGCGUAAUAAUUUUAGAUAGAUCUUAUAGAAAAAAUAGUUUGCGACCUCGAUGUUGGAUUAGGAUUCUUAUUUAAUGAAGAAGUUAAAAAAAGAAGUUUGUUCAACUUUUAAAUUCCUACAUGAUCUGUU
rnacentral:rRNA from 1 species